ACUGGAAUUAAUGGGAGCUUUAUUGUCCGCAAGAUUAGUCCAUCAAGAUAUCUGUAUCAUGAAAUUGGAAAAGGCAUGGUAAAAUUUCAAAAGUUAAAGCAACAUUAGAAGCUGUUUUGAAAUUAGUUUGUUUUCGGAUGGUUAGUUUUCUAAGGCAUAAUGUAGCCAUAAAACGGGAACAAGGGGAGAAGAAGUAGAUGGUCAAAUGCUGCAACACCUGUUUUACUGUGUCUGAAAAAAGAUUUGCUUAACGGUUUUACUGGAUUUCUAGAACAGAUGUAAUUAAAAACGGGAAGAAGAAAACAAUAAAAUUCAGAAGCUGAAAUAGUA